UACGAACUGCGCGAACGUUAUUCGGAAUCACUGGGCUUACAGGGUGCGUAGGCGGCCCAUCAGGUCCGAUGUGAAAUCCCCCAGCUCAACUGGGGAAUGGCAUUGGAAACCGAUGGGCUAGAGUGAGCUAGAGGUGCACGGAACUUCCGGUGGAGCGGUGAGAUGUGUUGGGAUCGGAAGGAACACCAGAGGCGAAGGCGGUGCACUGGGGCUUGUCUGACGCUGAGGCACGAAAGCCAGGGGAGCGAACGGG
rnacentral:rRNA from 1 species